AUUGAACGCUAGCGGGAUGCUUUACACAUGCAAGUCGAACGGCAGCGCGGACUUCGGUCUGGCGGCGAGUGGCGAACGGGUGAGUAAUGUAUCGGAACGUGCCCAGUAGCGGGGGAUAACUACGCGAAAGCGUAGCUAAUACCGCAUACGCCCUACGGGGGAAAGCAGGGGAUCGUAAGACCUUGCACUAUUGGAGCGGCCGAUAUCGGAUUAGCUAGUUGGUGAGGUAACGGCUCACCAAGGCGACGAUCCGUAGCUGGUUUGAGAGGACGACCAGCCACACUGGGACUGAGACACGGCCCAGACUCCUACGGGAGGCAGCAGUGGGGAAUUUUGGACAAUGGGGGCAACCCUGAUCCAGCCAUCCCGCGUGUGCGAUGAAGGCCUUCGGGUUGUAAAGCACUUUUGGAAGGAAAGAAACGUCGCGGGCUAAUACCCCGGGGAACUGACGGUACCUGCAGAAUAAGCACCGGCUAACUACGUG
rnacentral:rRNA from 1 species